CAACAUCUUACACCCUAAUUCCAUGCACCAACAUCUCUAACUAUCUUAUGAACUUACAUAUCCCAAGAGGCUGAGGUCAUCCUUAUUGUUGUAAAAGCUUGUGUUUCUUCUUCCACUAACAAUCUCUAGUAGUAGAACUCCAUAGCUGAACACAUCUGAUUUCUCUAAAAAUUGCCCUUGCAUUGCAUACUCAGGAGACAUAUAACCACUGUAUUUUAACAUAAAAAACAACACCAAUUACAACUGUAAUUUAAACUUGUCCACGAGCCAACCCGAAUUAAGAAUAAAUAAUAAAUCAUUUAAAAUUAAAAACAAUAAAUUGAGUUCACAAAUUGAACAAAAUUAAACUUGAUACGGGUAUGGACAUGUAUUUUCUUUAAGCACCGAACCUGACCAUAGACAUAUUUAUAUCAUAUUUUAUCAAAAAAUGAAUAAAAAUAAAUUGUAGGGAGAAAGUUCCAACUUACUAAGUUCCAACAACCCUUUUAGUAUUGGCUUGAUUUUCGCCACCUCCGAAGAUCCUGGCCAUCCCAAAAUCUGAAAUUUUUGGAUUUAAAUCUUGGUCAAGUAAAACAUUACUUGCUUUUAGAUCUCUAUGUAUAAUCCUUAAUCUUGAAUCUCUAUGAAGAUAAAGCAAUCCUCGACUGAUCCCUUCAAUAAUGUUGAAGCGUUUUCUCCAAUCCAAGAGUCUUUGUUUAACAGGAUCUGUAACAAAAUUUACCACCAAGAUUAAUAAUUAAUUCCUAUAAUUGAGUAUUUAAACUAAAACCAACACUUUUAUUUCUAUCAUAUUGCAUUCAUUAUGAUUGUAGCAUAAUUGAAGUUAUGUGAAUCAAUUGAAAUAAAUAUUAAAAUGAGAGAGAGACAAAACUUACUGUUGCCACUAAUAUUUAAAUCCUAGAGUAUAGACCAACUCCUAUUAAAAAAUAUAUAAUCCUCCUUAUAAAAUAGAUAAAAAAAAAGGAGAAAAUUCAAAGGAAAAAGUGAAAAUUCAGAAAAAUAAUGUAGACAACACAAAAUUGAAUAUAUAUAGUAAUUUUAUUUAAUAACCUUGAAUGUUAUUCUAUUUUCUUUUUGAAAUUUCCUUAAUUUUUUGAAUAAAAAUAAAAAAUUAGAAAAAUUUAUAAUAAAAAAAGCAAAAUAAGUUAGAAGAAUAGUUUAUGGUGAUGCAAACAUUUUUUUUUACUUAUAUAUAUAACAUAUUAUAUAUGUAUACAUAUAUAUUGUACCUAGCUUAGCUAGGUUAUACAAUUCAUAUAUUGUAAGACACUUUAUUUUUAGCAAUAAAUAUAAUAUAUAAUUAGAUUUAAGUUGGAUUGGGCCACUUAAGAUUAUACCCAAAUUUAACUUAUCAAAUUAGGCAUAUAAGGCAAUCAGGAAAAUAUACCCACGACUAAUGAAUUGAAAUUCCUCUAAACCAAAGUUUUAAAUUUAAAUUUUGUUUAAUCUUUUUAAGAAUUCGACUUGAUUUGAUUCUAAAUUUGAUCCGAGUUUAAUAUGAAACACUAAAAAAAAUUAAUAAGUUACUAACCAAAUAGAAAAGCAUCCAAACUUUUAUUGGGCAUGAACUCAUAGACGAGUAUCUUCUCUUCUGCUUCAACACAACACCCAAAUAAUCUAACCAGAUUUCGAUGUUGGAGCUUUGAAAUAACCACCACUUCGUUCAUAAAUUCUUCCAAUCCUUGCCCCGAAGCUUUUGACAAUCUCUUCACUGCUAUUUCUUUUCCAUCAUCUAAUGUUCCCUGCACUCAGAAUUCAGAUCACAAUACUUGAUUGAAAAAAAAAAGUCAUUUCGCAUUGACUCUGAAUUCGCCGGAAAUCGCUAUUAUUUAUUACCUUGUAAACCGGACCAAAACCACCCUGCCCUAGCUUUUUUUCGGGAUGGAAGUUGUUGGUUGCGGUGGCAAGUUCUUCGAAAUUGAAUAGUGGAAGCUGCUGGAGUUUAACACCGAUUAAACUUUCUCCUACAUUUUCACUAUAAGAUCUGUGUUUGAUCUGUUUGUGUCUUUUAUUCGUUCCUGAGAUAGAAAUCAAAGAAGCAAUGAGUUGAAGGCUACAUAAUUGUAAUUACUGCUAUGCCCACAAUUACCGUUGUAAUAACAAUGGCGAUAUUGUUGUCAAGAAGACAUGAGUUCGUAGAAAAACAUUAUUUUUUUAUUUAUUGAUUUUAGGUAUUGUUCCAAAUUUAUCAGAUGUACCCGAAGAGUUCUCUUAAAGUGAUUACAUAUUUCUUAUAAAAAGAAAGUGACUACAUAAAUUAAAUAAACAGAGACGACAAUUUACCUCUUUGUUUAGCCAUCCCACACCAUAGGAAGAGUGCAGAAAUUGUAAUAACGACUAUGCCCGCAGUUACUGUUGUAAUAACAAUGACCUUACUACUUUUCCCUUUAUCUGCAAAUAGAAAAACUUGGUUAAUAACUUCAACCCAAAAGGCAGAUAUUGACGCAAUUUAUCAAACACAUGGUCGACACUAAGAAACUUUACCCAGUUCCGAAGAUGGCAGACGAAAUUGUAGCAUUAUGCCAUGCCAUGAUGCAGCAUUUAAUCACACAACACAAUAAACAUCACUUAAGUUUCUUAGCAAUAUGAUGGUAAAAAUAUAUUAGCACAGAACGCACGUCAAUGCUUUUCAACUUAAUCUUGUAUUAGCACAGAAGGAAUCAUCAAGAAAUUGUACCUAAUUCACAUACCUGCUAAACGAUGCAGAAAACAGAAAAGGAAGCAAUGAAAUGGAAUUGAAUGAAACCCUAAACACAAACCCUAUAAAAUCAGUUCCUAACCAAUGAAACCAUUCAGAAAAUAAAUAAACAUUCGAAGCAUUACAUUACCUUCAAAACGAUGAACAAAAAUUGAAGAGGAAGACCGAAAACCCUAUAAACAGAGUAUAUUUUUUUUAAUGUCAGUUUCUCAGCACAAUAACAGGGAAGGAAAAAUAAAAUUAACAAAUUGGGGAAAACCCAAUGUAUACGGAGGCAGAAUGGGGAAAGCAAACCUGAACACUUAUUCCCCCGACCACCAAUUCCGACGAUGCUCCUCGACGUUCUCCGUCAACUGUAUGUGUCUAUGGAAUGUACAAACCCGAUUUUUAUCAAUUUUGCAAGAAAUUGAAACACCCAAACAAGGAAAUUUGAAAGAGAUACAGAAUUGAUUUUCAGAAAUGGGAGAAAGCAAAAACAGUAAAUGGAGUUAGGGAUUUCAGAACUUAGGGAUUUUAGAAGAGGAAAAAUGAAAUUGGAGGGGGUAUACCCCAAAAUCUGAUCUCUCACUAAACGACACCGUUUCAAUUAAAUAUAUUUGCGGCGUUUUUCAUAGAAACGCCACUAAUAAUUCAGUUGUUAUAAUAUAUAAUUUUUUUUAUUAUAAUUAUUAUUUUUAAUAAGUUUCUUACUUAAUACUUUUUUUAAAUGAUAAAAUUUAUAAAAAAAAUUUAAUUUUAUACAGUAUGAUUAAUUUAAACAUUAACAACAUUAAAAUUUAUAAAUAUUAAUCCCAAUACCCUAAAAUACAUAACUUUCAUUUGCGGUGUUUUUACAAAAAACGCCCCUAAUACCAAUAAACAGUAUAAAAACGAAGACGUUUCGGUUACACGUUUUGUGGCGUUUUUGCAAUAAACGCCACAAAUCUUGUUCUAUAGCGGCGUUUUCUGUAUAAGCGCCGCUAAUUUUUCAAUUUAUUUUAUUUGUCUUUAUUUAUAAGUUUAAUGAUUUUUAAUAGAUUUUUUUUGGUAAUUGUUAUGACAUUAUUUUAAAUUGAUACAUUAAUAUGCAUUUAUAAAAUUAUUUCAAUUUUAUGCAGUAUAUAUAAUAUAUAACAUAUAUGCAUAGAUAUAUAUCGUGGCAUAUAUUAUAUAUAUAACCCUGUCACUUAUAAUCCUAUAUACUAGUGACAUAAUAAGAAGUAAAAAGCAGAAAAGAAUUUUAAUUUUAAUUUUUUUGCUUUUGUACCCUAAAACCCGAAGCUAUUAAUCCCUUAUAACCCGUAACAUUAAAUUAAAGGCUAAACCCCUAGCUAACUCGUAUUCUUCAUGCAAAUUCGAACGCAAAAACCAAGCAUUGUAACAUCAAAUCAAUAAGGGUGACCAUAAACCAUAAACAAUCAUGCCGUAAAAUAGUAAAUUUGAUCAUUACAUCUUAUAAGCUGUAAACCUCGCAUUAAACUAACAUGUAAACUCAAACCCUAAACCCCAUUCCUCAAGCCGUAAACCUAAACCCAAAACCCUAAACAUAAAAUUAUAAUCCUAAAUUAAUAAACAUUAUGUAUCGAACCCUAAAACCCCAAACCAUAUGCAACAAAACUUAAAUAUUAAUCCCAAUACCCUAAAUACAUAACUUUCAUUUGCGGCGUUUUUACAAAAAUGCCGCUAAUACAAUAAACAGUAUAAAACGAAGUCUUUUCGGUUACAAAUCUUGUUCUAUAGCGGCGUUUUCUGUAUAAACGCCGCUAAUUUUUUCAAUUUAUUUUAUUUGUCUUUAUUUAUAAGUCUAAUGAUUUUUAGUAGAUUUUUAUUUUGAUAAUUGUUAUGACAUUAUUUUAAAUUGAUACAUUAAUAUGAAUUUAUAAAAUUAUUUCAAUUUUAUGCAGUAUGUAUAAUAUAUAACAUAUAUGCAUAGAUAUAUAUCGUGACAUAUUAUAUACAUAUAUAUAUAACCCUGUCUCUUAUAAUCCUAUAUACUAGUGACAUAAUAAGAAGUAAAAAGCAGAAAGAAUUUUAAUUUUUUUUUGCUUUUGUACCCUAAAACCCGAAGCUAUUAAUCCCUAUAACCCGUAAACACUAAAAUUAAAGGCUAAACCCUAGCUAACUCAUAUUCUUCAUGCAAAUCCGAACACAAAAACCAAGCAUUGUAGCAUUCAAAUCAAUAAGGGUAAACCAUAAACCAUAAACAUCAAGCCGUAAAACAAUAAAUUUAUCAUUAAUAUAUCUUAUAAGCCGUAAACCUCGCAUUAAAACUAACAUGUAAACUCAAACCCUAAACCCCAUUCCUCAAGCUGUAAACUAAACCCAAAACCCUAAACAUAAAAUUGUAAUCCUAAAUUAAUAAACAUUAUGUAUUAAACCCUAAAACCCCAAACCGUAUACAAUAAAACUUAAAUAUUAAUCCCAAAACCCUAAAAUACAUAACUUUCAUUUGCGGCGUUUUUACAAAAAUGCCGCUAAUACCAAUAAACAGUAUAAAAACGAAGUCGUUUCGGUUACACAUUUUGGCGGCGUUUUUGCAAUAAACGCCACAAAUCUUGUUCUAUAGCGGCGUUUCUGUAUAAGCGCCGCUAAUUUUUUAAUUUAUUUUAUUUGUCUUUAUUUAUAAUUUUAAUGAUUUUUAGUAGAUUUUUUAUUUGAUAAUUGUUUAUGACAUUAUUUUAAAUUGAUACAUUAAUAUGAAUUUAUAAAAUUAUUUCAAUUUUAUGCAGUAUGUAUAAUUUAAUAUAACCAACAUUAUAAUUUAAUAACUUACUGAAAUUAUUCAAAUAAUAUAAUGUUAUAACAAUUUUAAUUUAGAUCCCAAUAUAUGCUCUAUUUUUAAGCUAACAAACAAAUGUAAAUACGUAACUAACACCAAUAUUAAUAUAUAUAUGUUUCAUAAUAUAUACUUAUAAUAUAAUAAUAUAAUUCCAACAUUAAUUGAGAAUAUAUAAAAGAAUGAAAUAAUAUUUUAGAUUUUUCUAAUUAGCGGCGUUUUUAACACAACGCGCUAUAGACCGAAGACUUACCAGGUGCUGUUACACAAACGCCGCUAUAGACCGGAACAUUAGCGGCGAUUCUCCAUAAACGCCACUUUAGAGCGGAGGCACCACAUCGGCGGUUUAUAAAAAAACGCCGCUAUAGAUCGGAUUAUUUGCGGCGCAUAAAAAAAAGGCCGCUAAAGAUAAGACCAAUUAGCGGCGCAGACACAAAAACGCCCGGUACUUUACCGACGCUUAACGCCAAACGCCGUUGAAGAACGGAGUAUUAGUGGCGCUUGGGAAAACCGCCGCUAAUGUUCCCAAAUAUAUGAAAACGGCAUCGUUCUGUGUUACUCUAUUGCGGCGCUUUUUGUAAAACGCCACUAAUGCUUGGUUUUAGCAGCGUUUUUUUAUGUAACGCCGCUAAUGCUCGAUAUUUUGCGGCGUUUUUCGUAAAAUGCCGCUAAUGCUCGACUGUUAGUGGCGUUCUUUGUCCAAACGCCGCUAAAAGCGCCGCUAUAUCCCUAUUUUGGUGUAGUGUUUAUCUGCAAAUCCAGAAACAUGGUUAAUAAAACAUCAACACCAAAAAAGCAGAUAUUGACGCAAUUUAUCAAACACACGGUCGACAUUAAGAAAAUUUACCGCGUUCCGAAGAUGGCAGACGAAUGUAAAGAUCGACUCCGCUAGUGGAGAAAUAUCAAUCAAAUCUCCACUCCACAACAUGCAACCAAUGCCAUCAUCAUACGCAUUAAGCCACGCACGAACAAUUCUUCAUGCACUGAUCUUUGCACUCGCCGUUACUGAUGACGGGUGUGGAAAUACCGGCACAUUCAUAUUCUUCAUGUCCAAAAACCCAUCAUCAUCUGGCCUGCUCCACUGCCAUUGUUGUUAUCUCUUUGGCAGUGCAAAGGGGUAGUCCUAAAACAUCCACUACUCCAAUUACCUCUACUCAUUCCUCUAUAUUCCUAGGCUUAAACCUCUUUAAGCAACUGCAAAUGGGUUGUUUCGAUGAAUCGCAUAUUCCAAAUGCUCCACAGUAUCCAUAAACAUCACAAUCUGUUUGAUAACUAGAGUACUCGUUUAUCCAGUUCCCUUUCCCAGCAUCCCAUCUCAGUUCAAUGAAUUUUUCCUUGAGACUCUAAUUCACCGUAUAUCAACAUAGAGUCAGUAAUAAAUUCAUAAGUCAUAUAGUAAGGUUAUUGUGGGUUUAUCUGCAACAACAACAAACCCUUGAAGAUAAGAGGUGUACAUAUUUAUUCAGCCAAUAAAGGUAUAUACCCAUUCCAUGGACCGGUCCGAAAAUAGAGCUGGUUUUUCUUCCGAAUGAUGCCCCUCUGGGAUGUUGAAAGGUUCAAAACCAAGAGAAAAGUUUCCAUCAGAUGGAUCAUCAAUGCUUUUCCAUGAUUUCAGGUCCACUUUACGACCCUUUUUUAACAUCAGUGCCUGAUCUUCAUAGUUUCAAUGAAGGCAUUAAAAGGAUAUUCAAAACUCUCCCAUAAGCUGCUUGCUCCAUCAUCACCAUUACUGAGGACGAGGUUUCCAGAGUCUAAAAGCUGGACAAUUAGGAACUGUAUUGGUAACAUUCAAUGACCAAAGAAUUUCAGCUUUUCCAUUGGAAACAACAAGGUUUCCGUCAUCUGAUAUGGUGAGAAUCCCAGAAGAGUCUUUGAGAGGCCUGUUUCUAUUUGCUACCCAUACAACAGUUUGUACGGGGAUUUGAUUCUAGAGUAUCCCUACAUAACGAUUGCUGGAGUUAGCCAAGCUGAAGAAUCCCAAUCGGAAAACACCAUUCUGGGAGAUUAUAACAUCAGGGUCUUUGAUGGAUUUUGAUGGUGUUAUGUGUCUAAAGCAGUGGCAAAUAGUAAGUAAAAGCAAGAUAUUAAAGCUAGUAAAACGGAGCAGUUAAUAGUUUUUCCCAUGAUCUCUUCCCAGUACUUGGAAGUAACCUAUGAUUUAUAAAUGAUAUUUGGAAUCUUCAAAGUCUGAUUUUGAUAUUAUGUAAUGAUAUUUCAAAGGCAGCUGCAAAUGUUUACACCAAUCCCAUAUGCAAGCAAAAGUCGACAGAAAAAGAAAGAACAUACAAAGGUGACUAGCGCUUUUAGAAACUUCUAAUCUUGAUGUAAACAUUUGCGGCUGUCAUGAACAUUUCUAUCUUAUUUAUUAAUGGUUUGUUCUACCGACAUUUUUUUAAUAUAUACUUUGGUUUUAUUUAUUUCAAUAAUGCAAAGAAUAAAAUAAAACAACAUUUAACAUAUUUUGGGUUAAGAUGUCUCAUUCCGACUUCUGAUGUACUUCAAGUCCAAGAACAAAUGCAGGGUUUAGGAUUAGUUUUAAGUUGAAGUAAUUCUGGGUUAGUUUAAACUUUUUGGGGUCAAGCUAUCUUGAAUUUAGGAUAUUUCAAGUUAUGUAUUCGACUUAUUUUAAGUUUGAAUUAUUUCAAGUUUGAAUCAUUUGAGUUUAGAUCAUACUUGAAUUUGAGUUGAUCUAGUUUGAAUUAUUGUGUUUUAUAUGUCCGGUUAAAAUUUAGAAUUUGGGACAAAAUUAAUUUUAAUUUAAUCCAAUUUAAUUCGUGUUAGGUUGAUUGUAUUUCGUCUACUUGAGUUAUUAAAAUUAUGUUAAUUUGUGUUGUUAUAGGCCUCGGUAAGAUGCUUGAUUAAGUAAAACCAUGACUAAGUUAUUCUUGCAUUACAAUUGUAAGGUAACUAAUGAAUUAAUUAUUUAAACGGAUUGAAAUUGUAAUUAAUUGACACGAUACUUAAUCAGUGCAUGUUAUUAUCUAAGGUAGCUGAGGGUUAAAUUAGCAACAGUAUCUAAUGAUACAUUAGCCUUGUAUAACUUGCAAGAUUAUUGUGAUUAAACUGUUUCAAGGGUAGAAAUACAUUGUUACCUGGCGUAAUCUUUUUGUGCUUAUGAGAUUGAAUUAAUUGUUUGAAUUAGCAUAGAGAUAUGUACAAAAGAUUAUUUUAAUUUCAUAAGUAUGUAUGUGCAUUAACACAUUUGCUUAUUAAAAUUUGUUUAAUCGGUUGAAUUGACAUAGAGAUGUAGUCAAGAGAUAAAUGGAUUUUGGUAGGUAAGUAUGUUCAUAAGUUAGCAAAUUACCGAGUUGCUGUGAAUUUAUUCGUAACAACAUUAAAAUGAGUUUAAUAAUUCUAAUUAAGUUAAGAAAUGUAAAUAAUCUAGCACAAUUAUGUCAUCUUGAUUAAAAUCAUCUUUUGAAAUUGUGCAUUGAAACUUUUAUUUUAUUUUUAUUUAUUUUACUUAGUUAAAAUCCUAGUUUUUAAUCACCUCCUCAAAUCAAAAUAUUUUUCUUCACCAAAGUGUUUUUAAUUGCAUUCAUAAAUAAUUCUUUUCACAACCCCUGUGGUUAUGAUAACUCGGCAUUUACUUGUCACUUUAUUACUUGUUGCGAUUGUGUACACUUGAACAUUUCCUUCGUUCCACCUUUUUCAGUAAUUUUGCUGACAGUGCAUCUUGCUUGAAGCGUUCUUAACAUUAUAUUUUCAGAGCCGUCUUCUCAAAAUUAUUUUUUCAGGAGCUACUGUAGAAAAAAACAAAAUCCUUAUUGUCAAUAUAAUUUUCCCUAAACCCUAAACCUAAACACAAAAUUAUUUAAAAAACUAAACCAUAAUUUAGUUAAUUUUCUUAAAAACUCUAAGCCCUAAUUUAGUUAAUUUAUUUAAAACCCCUAAAACCUAAUUUAAUUAUUUUAAAAAAAACUCUAAACCUUGAUUUAUUCGCUAAACCUACCUUAAACCCUAAACCUAAAUUAUUUUAACAAAACCCUAGCCCUAACCUUAAACCCUAAAAACCUUAAACCAAAAAACCCUAGUGACUAAACAUGCAAAAAGCCCUAACCCUAGAAAAACUUGGGCUAAAUCGCGUCCCUGGGGGAGCGAUUUUGCCACGUUAGCGCGUUUUGUGCUGACAUGGCAAAAUCGCUCCCCCAGGGACGCUAUUUACUGAAAUUUCACCCAAAAAUGCUCCAAUGUGGACGCGUUUUGUAUUUUUCGACCUUUCUGAUAAAUAAUGAAAAAAUUGGCCCAUUUCCGUAAAUAAAGUUGGAACUGGGCCAUUAUUGGUAAAAUGGUCCUUUAGAAUGGAACAAAUAAAAUGACAAAAAUAUCAAAACAAAGAUAAAAAUAAAUUUCAAUGCUUGAACUUUAAUUCUAAACAAUACAAAUAAUUAAUUUACAUUUUUAUCGACCAUCAAGGUUUGUAAGAGUUACAUCAUUAAGUGAACCUCUAUCUUCAACAUUAUGGCUCAUUAGUGGUGCUUGAGUGAAAGCAGGUUGCUUUGGAGUGUUAAGAUCUGAAAUCUCACUAUUAAGCAUUGAAAUAACAGUAGAUAUAGUCGGCCUAUCUUUAGUAUAUUCUUGAACGCAUAGCAAUCCAACAUGUAUGCAUCUCCAUAUUUCUUUUUCAUUAUUUGAAUCUGAUUUCGACUCUAAAAUCACCUCGUCUACUAAGCCCCAAAUAUUGCCUUCCCUCCAUAAUUUCCAUGCCUGAAAACAAAAAAAACAACUUUUGACUUAAUUAAUGCCAAAAUUAUUCAGCUUAGCUUGACUCAAAAUUUUAAUCUUAAAGUUUAAAUAGAGUUUGAUCAACUCUAUUCAAGAUAAAGAUUGUAAUGUUCUAACUCUCUUAGGCUUGUUUUAGCUAAGUCUACAAUGAGCUUCACUCUUAUGCUUAACUUCAAACUUGAUUAUUUGUAAUCAAGUUCGAGUUUGAAUUGAAAAAUUUCAAUAUUGAUUAAGAUUGAAAAGCCUUGCAAGCUACUCGUUUCAAGUAUUAGGGUUCUUGAAGUUAGCUUGCGAGCUACUCGAAUCAAGCAUUAAGAUUCUCAAAUUCAACUCACAUGAUUGCUCGGCUCAAUAAUUGCUGAGCCAAAUUUAAGUUUUCUCAAAUCGAACCCGAAUAACUCGCAAAUACAACAUUUUACACCCUAAUUCCAUCCACCAACAUCUCAACUAUCUUAUAAACUUACAUAUCCCAAGAGGCUGAGGUCAUCCUUAUUGUUGUAAAAGCUUGUGUUUCUUCUUCCACUAACAAUCUCUAGUAGUAGAACUCCAUAGCUGAACACAUCUGAUUUCUCUGAAAAUUGCCCUUGCAUUGCAUACUCAGGAGACAUAUAACCAC
rnacentral:lncRNA from 1 species